AUUGAACGCUGGCGGAAUGCUUUACACAUGCAAGUCGAACGGUAGAGGGGGCAACCCCUUGAGAGUGGCGAACGGGUGAGUAAUAUAUCGGAACGUGCCAGUCGUGGGGGAUAACGUAGCGAAAGUUACGCUAAUACCGCAUACGAUCUAAGGAUGAAAGCGGGGGAUCGCAAGACCUCGCGCGACUGGAGCGGCCGAUAUCAGAUUAGGUAGUUGGUAGGGUAAAGGCCUACCAAGCCAACGAUCUGUAGCUGGUCUGAGAGGACGACCAGCCACACUGGAACUGAGACACGGUCCAGACUCCUACGGGAGGCAGCAGUGGGGAAUUUUGGACAAUGGGCGAAAGCCUGAUCCAGCCAUUCCGCGUGCAGGAUGAAGGCCCUCGGGUUGUAAACUGCUUUUGUACAGAACGAAAAGGUUUCUAUUAAUACUAGGAGCUCAUGACGGUACUGUAAGAAUAAGCACCGGCUAACUACGU
rnacentral:rRNA from 1 species